rnacentral:lncRNA from 1 species
UUUUAUUCGGGUUGUAACUUGGUCAAGGUAAGGGUGAGAUAAAUCCUAAAGGGUACUAGGCUAAAAUUCAAAUGGUACAAAAAAAUUGAAAGAAACUGCGGGAGUUGAAGUACAAAUGACUUCAUUCACUUUCAAACAGCAACUUUGUCGUUAUUUCUCUUCUCUUUUCUCUUUUUUAUUCUCUUUUUUUAAGAAGGAAUAUUAUUGGCAUUCUUCUCUUCUUUUUCUAUUUUUUUUCUUUUUCUAUAUAUAUUUCUUUUCUUUUUUCUUGCCAAC